UGCAGUGGAGCGACGAAGGGGCUUCGGCCCUGGCAGAGCCGCGAACGGGUGAGUAACACGUGGGUGACCUGCCCCGAUGAUUGGGACAACCCGAGGAAACUCGGGCUAAUACCAAAUGUGCUCCUUGGUCCAAAGGCCUUGGAGGAAAGGAAGCUUCGGCCUCCGCAUCGGGAUGGGCCCGCGGCGCAUUAGCUUGUUGGUGGGGUAACGGCCUACCAAGGCGACGAUGCGUAGCUGGUCUGAGAGGACGAUCAGCCACACUGGGACUGAGACACGGCCCAGACUCCUACGGGAGGCAGCAGUGGGGAAUCUUGCGCAAUGCGCGAAAGCGUGACGCAGCAACGCCGCGUGUGGGAAGACGGCCUUCGGGUUGUAAACCACUUUCAGUUGGGACGAAGGGUCAUCUGUGAAUAGCAGCUUGACUUGACGGUACCUUCACAAGAAGCCCCGGCUAACUACGUGCCAGCAGCCGCGGUAAUACGUAGGGGGCAAGCGUUGUCCGGAAUCAUUGGGCGUAAAGCGCGUGUAGGCGGGUCGGUAAGUCUGCUCUGAAAGUCCAAGGCUCAACCUUGGGAUGCGGGUGGAUACUGCCGACCUCGAGUCCGGAAGAGGCGAGUGGAAUUCCUGGUGUAGCGGUGAAAUGCGCAGAUAUCAGGAGGAACACCAAUGGCGAAGGCAGCUCGCUGGGACGUGACUGACGCUGAGACGCGAAAGCGUGGGGAGCAAACAGGAUUAGAUACCCUGGUAGUCCACGCCGUAAACGAUGGGCACUAGGUGUGGGAGGUGUCGACUCCUCCCGUGCCGAAGCUAACGCAUUAAGUGCCCCGCCUGGGGAGUACGGGCCGCAAGGCUAAAACUCAAAGGAAUUGACGG
rnacentral:rRNA from 1 species